rnacentral:rRNA from 1 species
CCUACGGGAGGCAGCAGUGGGGAAUAUUGCACAAUGGGGGAAACCCUGAUGCAGCAACGCCGCGUGAGUGAAGAAGUAUCUCGGUAUGUAAAGCUCUAUCAGCAGGGAAGAAAAUGACGGUACCUGACUAAGAAGCCCCGGCUAACUACGUGCCAGCAGCCGCGGUAAUACGUAGGGGGCAAGCGUUAUCCGGAUUUACUGGGUGUAAAGGGAGCGUAGACGGUGUGGCAAGUCUGAAGUGAAAGCCCCGGGCUCAACCCCGGGACUGCUUUGGAAACUGUCAUGCUGGAGUGCUGGAGAGGUAAGCGGAAUUCCUAGUGUAGCGGUGAAAUGCGUAGAUAUUAGGAGGAACACCAGUGGCGAAGGCGGCUUACUGGACAGUAACUGACGUUGAGGCUCGAAAGCGUGGGGAGCAAACAGGAUUAGAUACCCGGGUAGUC